rnacentral:miRNA from 1 species
CCAAGUGCUCAGAUGCUUGUGGU